rnacentral:lncRNA from 1 species
GUAAAUUUUUUUCAAUCAUAAAAUUUUAGAUUAAAAAAGUGACUAUGGAUGUUUGACCAUGUUUUAAAUUUUAUAAAUCUAAAACUAGAUUUUUUCUUUCUUGCAGCCUUAUGUGAUGACUUGGGCUUUUAAUAGGUUAAAAAUGUAUUCUGACUAAUAUUCAGCCCUGAACCUAUCUCAUGCUCUUGGAUGAAUAAGGCCACUUCACCCGACAUUGAAGCAUGGGAAAUUUGCAAUUCCCUCCAAAGAUUGUCAAUGAGCCUGUUGUGAAGCUGCCAAGAACCGUUUUCUUCUAGUACACAAGGGAGAAAAAUGAACAAUGUAGAAGUUUCACCUGUCAUCUCCAGCAGAGAUUAGAUUGCCCGUCACAGUUGAAGUAGUGAAUGACAUGAAAUGCUGUUUCUUGGAAGAAGUUUAUUGCUUUUCAACCUCUCAAGAACUCAGUUAAUUCAGCUGCUAAAAUAAAAUACAGAAAGGGUAAGCUCUGAAUCAGCCCCUACUGCAAACCACGGAGAUACACCUGAACUGCGGAGAGAGGAGUUUGCCUGAAGGAUUAAUGGAACAGGGGAAGAGCCACUGGUAACAUUCGCUUCUUUGCCUGACCAGAGCGCUACCGUUAAUUUCACUAGUGAGGAAGAGCUGUGGAAGAAUACGCAAAACAGAUUCUGCCACCCAAAAUCCCGGAGCCGCCUGGGAGGAACUCAGCCACAUGGUGGCGCCAAAAAAUUCACUGAGUCAUAGCUGAGUGGAUGUUUGCUCUGGAGAGCAUUGACACUGAGUGAGAAGUGCAGGGCACAUUGAGGACCCAAGCUCAGUACUGAAGAGCUGCAGACAGAUGAAAUUGGUCUAAAUUGAAGUGUUUUAAUUGUAAUAGAAGAGCCAGCCCUCUGAAAAAAUGUUCUUUACAAUGAAUCCUUUGAUAAAUAGAAGGAUCCUUUUGUAAUGUAAAUAGUGAUCUUUUGCUUUAUUUGUUGAUAAGAUCUAAUUAUGAAGUGGGGUGAACUUACAUUGUAAGAAUUAUUAGAAUAAGACUGGAAAACUCAUUACUUCAACAAUGACUUGGUUGCAGUAAGAAUCACAUAUAAGACACAAUUGCAGUCUGGUUUUGAGGUUAAAUGGUAAGAAUGGGAAAUAGCUGGCAAGCAGAGG